rnacentral:rRNA from 1 species
UACGGAGAGGGCUAGCGUUAUUCGGAAUCAUUGGGCGUAAAGGGCGCGUAGGCGGGUUAGUAAGUUAAAAAGUGAAAUCCCAAGGCUCAACCUUGGAACUGCUUUUAAAAACUGCUAGUCUAGAGAUUGAAAGAGGAUAGAGGAAUUCCUAGUGUAGAGGUGAAAUUCGUAAAUAUUAGGAGGAACACCAGUGGCGAAGGCGUCUAUCUGGUUCAAAUCUGACGCUGAGGCGCGAAGGCGUGGGGAGCAAACAGG